rnacentral:rRNA from 1 species
UACAGAGGUCUCAAGCGUUGUUCGGAUUCAUUGGGCGUAAAGGGCGCGUAGGCGGCGGGGUAAGUCGGGUGUGAAAUCUCAGAGCUCAACUCUGAAAUGGCAUUCGAUACUGCCGUGCUUGAGGACUGGAGAGGAGACUGGAAUUUACGGUGUAGCGGUGAAAUGCGUAGAUAUCGUAAGGAAGACCAGUGGCGAAGGCGGGAUCGU